AAGGGCUUAGCUUAAUUAAAGUAGUUGAUUUGCAUUCAGCGGAUGUAAGAUAGAGUCUUGCAGUCCUUA
rnacentral:tRNA from 1 species